CGUAGCGAAAGCUACGCUAAUACCGCAUACGAUCUAUGGAUGAAAGCGGGGGAUCGCAAGACCUCGCGCGAUUGGAGCGGCCGAUAUCAGAUUAGGUAGUUGGUGAGGUAAAGGCUCACCAAGCCGACGAUCUGUAGCUGGUCUGAGAGGACGACCAGCCACACUGGGACUGAGACACGGCCCAGACUCCUACGGGAGGCAGCAGUGGGGGAAUUUUUGGACAAUGGGGCGCAAGCCUGAUCCAGCGAUGCCGCGUGCAGGAUGAAGGCCUUCGGGUUGUAAACUGCUUUUGUACGGAACGAAACGGUGAGCUCUAAUACAGUUUGCUAAUGACGGUACCGUAAGAAUAAGCACCGGCUAACUACGUG
rnacentral:rRNA from 1 species